GAUGAACGCUGGCGGCGUGCCUAAUACAUGCAAGUCGAGCGAACAGACGAGGAGCUUGCUCCUCUGACGUUAGCGGCGGACGGGUGAGUAACACGUGGAUAACCUACCUAUCAGACGGGGAUAACUUCGGGAAUCCGGAGCAAAUCCCGGAUAAGCUGCUGAACCGUAUGGUUCAACAGUGAAAGACGGUCUUGCUGUCACUUAUCGAUGGAUCUGCGCCGCAUUAGCUAGUUGGUAAGGUAACGGCUUACGAAGGCAAGGAUGCGUAGCCGACGUGACAGGGUGAUCGGCCACACGGGAACGGAGACACGGUCCAGACUCCUACGAGAGGCAGCAGUAGGGUAUCUUCCGCAAUGGGCGAAAGCCUGACGGAGCAGCGCCGCGUGAGAGAAGAAGGUGUUCGGAUCGUAAAACUCUGUUAUGAGGGAAGAACAAAUGUGGAAGUAACUAUGCACGUCUUGACGGUACCUAGUCAGAAAGCCACGGCUAACUACGUG
rnacentral:rRNA from 1 species